AGAGUUCGAUUCUGGCUCAGGACGAACGCUGGCGGCGUGCUUAACACAUGCAAGUCGAACGGAAAGGCCCUGCUUUUGUGGGGUGCUCGAGUGGCGAACGGGUGAGUAACACGUGAGUAACCUGCCCUUGACUUUGGGAUAACUUCAGGAAACUGGGGCUAAUACCGGAUAGGAGCUCCUGCUGCAUGGUGGGGGUUGGAAAGUUUCGGCGGUUGGGGAUGGACUCGCGGCUUAUCAGCUUGUUGGUGGGGUAGUGGCUUACCAAGGCUUUGACGGGUAGCCGGCCUGAGAGGGUGACCGGCCACAUUGGGACUGAGAUACGGCCCAG
rnacentral:rRNA from 1 species